CUUGUGGACAAAGACUUAUGGACAGGUGCAAACCACAAAUCCUCUUUUGCAACCCAGAACUUAUUGUUCAGUAUGAGUUUUGAUACAUGUAAGAAGGGAUAUU
rnacentral:snoRNA from 1 species